CCAGGAGGCUAUAGGUCACGUUACCUACCAUGCCGGCGUAAGUUUUGGUGUCCCUAAAAAUCCACAACAACAACAACAAGCUAACUUGUCUCACCUAGCAACUUUCUAGCCAAAUUUUUGUGCCUCGCGAGACUAAGGUGGUGAUGUGGCCUACCAGUCACAGUAACUGCCUCCCAUGCUCGACCUCACGGCAGCCAGAACACCGAAGUGAGGAGUGCAGGCAAUGGUUCUUUGGUUGGUUACUUCACUACUUAGGAGUGGCGUGUUUACAUCAAUGCCACCUCGGGGCCGGUCCUUGGCAGGGUUAGAGCUGACCUGAGUGCAGGUACUGUACUUCCCACCUCCAGGAUUCAAGUCCGGAAACCACAGUGCCAGGAGCAAGAGGCUAGUAACCCCUUCUCCUGUAUAUAUUACUAAAUGUAAAACAAAGGGUGAUCCGAAAAAGGAGAAGCUUUCGUUUCUUUUUUUUCGGAUCACCCUGCCUCGGUGGAAGAUGUCCAUGUAG